rnacentral:rRNA from 1 species
UACGUAGGCGGUUAAAUAAGUCAGGUGUAAAAGGCAUUGGCUCAACCAAUGUAAGCACUUGAAACUGUUUGACUUGAGUAUAGGAGAGGUAAGUGGAAUUCCUAGUGUAGCGGUGAAAUGCGUAGAUAUUAGGAGGAACACCAGUGGCGAAGGCGACUUACUGGACUAUUACUGACGCUGAGGUACGAAAGCCAGGGAAGCGAACG